rnacentral:sRNA from 1 species
AAGAAAAUAACUAAAACUUAGACUUUGAAUGGUUAUAGCGGUUUAAGAAGACAAAAAUGUCUAUAUACCAAAUCGUGUUUUAUUUACUAUUUAU